CAAGCCCUGGAAACGGGGUCUAAUACCGGAUGGGACUGCCGGCCGCAUGGUCUGGUGGUGGAAAGCGUUUAGUGGUGCAGGAUGAGCCCGCGGCCUAUCAGCUUGUUGGUGGGGUGAGUGCCUACCAAGGCGACGACGGGUAGCCGGCCUGAGAGGGCGACCGGCCACACUGGGACUGAGACACGGCCCAGACUCCUACGGGAGGCAGCAGUGGGGAAUAUUGCACAAUGGGCGGAAGCCUGAUGCAGCGACGCCGCGUGAGGGAUGACGGCCUUCGGGUUGUAAACCUCUUUCAGCAGGGAAGAAGCCGCAAGUGACGGUACCUGCAGAAGAAGCACCGGCUAACUACGUGCCAGCAGCCGCGGUAAUACGUAGGGUGCAAGCGUUGUCCGGAAUUAUUGGGCGUAAAGAGCUCGUAGGCGGCGUGUCACGUCGGAUGUGAAAGCCCGGGGCUUAACCCCGGGUUUGCAUUCGAUACGGGCAGGCUAGAGUUCGGUAGGGGAGAUCGGAAUUCCUGGUG
rnacentral:rRNA from 1 species